rnacentral:pre_miRNA from 1 species
AAAAAGACAAACCCUGGUUUUCGUGCCCAACAUUUGACCGUUCGUCUUAUUUGAAAAAAAUAUGAAAAAAAUAAAAAGACAAGUCACGCAUAAAAUAUUAAUCAUGUUUUAUCAUCUAACAACAAUGAAAAUACGAAUUAUAAAAAAAUUUCAUAUAAGACGGACAGUCAAAGUUGGACACGGAAACCCAGGGUUUGCCUUUUU